UAGGGAAUCUUCCGCAAUGGGCGAAAGCUUGACGGAGCAACGCCGCGUGAGUGAUGAAGGUCUUCGGAUCGUAAAACUCUGUUAUUAGGGAAGAACAAAUGUGUAAGUAACUAUGCACGUCUUGACGGUACCUAAUCAGAAAGCCACGGCUAACUACGUGCCAGCAGCCGCGGUAAUACGUAGGUGGCAAGCGUUAUCCGGAAUUAUUGGGCGUAAAGCGCGCGUAGGCGGUUUUUUAAGUCUGAUGUGAAAGCCCACGGCUCAACCGUGGAGGGUCAUUGGAAACUGGAAAACUAGAGUGCAGAAGAGGAAAGUGGAAUUCCAUGUGUAGCGGUGAAAUGCGCAGAGAUAUGGAGGAACACCAGUGGCGAAGGCGACUUUCUGGUCUGUAACUGACGCUGAUGUGCGAAAGCGUGGGGAUCAAACAGG
rnacentral:rRNA from 1 species